UUUUGCACCGGGUAUGUAAUGGGUACUGCUGAUUAUUUGUAAUGCAAGUGUAAUGUAAUGAUUCAGAUUUGAAAAAGCCUUCUUUUCAUUUGUUUUCCCAGGGAAAAACUUUGUUCUGCACAGAAAAAAUGAGUGAACCUGGCAAAAAGGACGGGAAGGGAAAGAAGCCAGAGGCAACGGAAGGACACUUAACAUCUGAAUCAGAUGGAGUUAAAGGGAAAAAAGAAGCAAAAGGACAAGAAAUGAAAGACAAACCUGUUGGUUGUGGAGGUCGUGGUGGUGGUAGCGGAGGUGGUGGUGGUGGUGGCGGAGGUCGCGGUGGAGGUCGGGGUGAUCAAUAAAUGAUGAAGAAAUCCUUGACUCGCCAUUCUGUGAUAAUAAUUGUAAAGACUUAAAUACAUGUAUAAUAAACAAAUCCAGAAAAAGACAAGA